AAGAAAUCUAACAUCUCGUAAUCUGAUUUGAGGUAGAGUUCAAACUAUGACACAGGUAAGAAUAAUUAUGGAACAGAUGGGAACAAACAUGAAAAGGCCAUUGUGAAUACAUAGCACAAACUAUUCGAAAGCAGGAUCAGCCCAACAAGCUAGGUAUGUAUCGCCAUCUUAUGAGAGAGAAGCAAGCCACACAGCAAUCUGGUUCCCGCCAAGUAGAUAGUUUCCGCUUCAAUUUCCCUCUAACAAGGGACAGCACAGAGUGCAGAAAUAAUAUCAAUCAACAAAAGGCAAGUACGCACUCAUAAGAAAUAAGGUACUCCUGUCCUGGGUCCUCGCAUCUGGUUGUUUUCUUCAGUUUCAGUGAAGAACUUCACCUCUCUCUCCAUAUUCUCAUUG
rnacentral:misc_RNA from 1 species